GAGUUUGAUCCUGGCUCAGAUUGAACGCUGGCGGCAUGCCUUACACAUGCAAGUCGAACGGCAGCACGGGAGCUUGCUCCUGGUGGCGAGUGGCGAACGGGUGAGUAAUGCAUCGGAACGUAUCCUGGAGUGGGGGAUAACGUAGCGAAAGUUACGCUAAUACCGCAUAUUCUGUGAGCAGGAAAGCGGGGGACCUUCGGGCCUCGCGCUCUUGGAGCGGCCGAUGUCGGAUUAGCUAGUUGGUGAGGUAAAGGCUCACCAAGGCGACGAUCCGUAGCAGGUCUGAGAGGAUGAUCUGCCACACUGGAACUGAGACACGGUCCAGACUCCGUACGGAGGCAGCAGUGGGUAAUUUUGGACAAGUGGGGCAACCCUGAUCCAGCCAUGCCGCGUGAGUGAAG
rnacentral:rRNA from 1 species